AGAGUUUGAUCCUGGCUCAGGAUGAACGCUAGCGGCAGGCCUAACACAUGCAAGUCGAGGGGCAUCGGGAUUGAAGCUUGCUUCAAUUGCCGGCGACCGGCGCACGGGUGCGUAACGCGUAUGUAACCUACCUAUAACAGGGGCAUAACACUGAGAAAUUGGUACUAAUUCCCCAUAAUAUUCGGAGAGGCAUCUCUCCGGGUUGAAAACUCCGGUGGUUAUAGAUGGACAUGCGUUGUAUUAGCUAGUUGGUGAGGUAACGGCUCACCAAGGCAACGAUACAUAGGGGGACUGAGAGGUUAACCCCCCACACUGGUACUGAGACACGGACCAGACUCCUACGGGAGGCAGCAGUGAGGAAUAUUGGUCAAUGGACGCAAGUCUGAACCAGCCAUGCCGCGUGCAGGAAGACGGCUCUAUGAGUUGUAAACUGCUUUUGUACGAGGGUAAACUCACCUACGUGUAGGUGACUGAAAGUAUCGUACGAAUAAGGAUCGGCUAACUCCGUGCCAGCAGCCGCGGUAAUACGGAGGAUCCGAGCGUUAUCCGGAUUUAUUGGGUUUAAAGGGUGCGUAGGCGGUUUGAUAAGUUAGAGGUGAAAUCCCGGGGCUUAACUCCGGAACUGCCUCUAAUACUGUUAGACUAGAGAGUAGUUGCGGUAGGCGGAAUGUAUGGUGUAGCGGUGAAAUGCUUAGAGAUCAUACAGAACACCGAUUGCGAAGGCAGCUUACCAAACUAUAUCUGACGUUGAGGCACGAAAGCGUGGGGAGCAAACAGGAUUAGAUACCCUGGUAGUCCACGCAGUAAACGAUGAUAACUCGUUGUCGGCGAUACACAGUCGGUGACUAAGCGAAAGCGAUAAGUUAUCCACCUGGGGAGUACGUUCGCAAGAAUGAAACUCAAAGGAAUUGACGGGGGCCCGCACAAGCGGAGGAACAUGUG
rnacentral:rRNA from 1 species